CUUUUUUCAGGAAAAGUUGGUUACGGAACCGUUAUGAAGCAUUGGCAUACAGAGUACCCUUUGUUUUUGUCCGAAGAGAUUAUUUUAACGAAGAACCGUUUUUAAGGAAUAUGCCUGCGUGCCAUUACUGUUACAGUGCGUGUGGCGGAACAGCUUGUCCCAUAUGCAAAAACAGCUUAACUAAUAUGCGCCGGAGAAAUCCAGGUGCUGGAGAGUAGCAGCCCGCAGAGCAUUGAGGAAAAUACGUUUGGAAGUGGUAUUACUGCUACCUGGAGAGUGGAGUGGUUGUUCGCAUCGCUGUCCUGCUUCAUCAACGGCCACGCAUUGUUCUUGUGGGGGAUGAUGCUCAAAUUCUUCUAUAAACUCAUUGACCAUCUCCAGGUAAGCAUCCAGAUGAGCUCGCUUCCACUCCUAAAGAUUCGCAGUACAUAAAAUUGUUCAGAUUUCAAAACGAAUGGGAAUAACAUCGCGCCUUUUAACUUCCCAAGUUCUGACCAAGA